GUAACAAUAGCUCAGUGGUAGAGUGCAUGCUUAGCAUGCAUGAGGUCCUGGGUUCAAUCCCCUGUACU
rnacentral:tRNA from 1 species